rnacentral:lncRNA from 1 species
GGGUUACAGUUUCAAUUUCAAUUUGGGAAAAAGGGGCUAUAGGUAAUUAAUGAACACGUACGUAUAAGGGAAGUCGACCACUUCUGAACCUACGUGUAAACAUAACUACAUCAUUUUUUUUUUUGUAAAAGGGCUUUCAGCUACAUCAUGUUUUAUCGUUUAGCUUUUCGAUUUCUCACCGUUUCUCUCUCUCUGGAUCUUUCACGGGAGAAGAAGAGAUGAGAAGCUUCACUUUCGAUUCAAUCUUAUGAUUGAAUCGAUCCUUUUGGGUGUAAAUAUUUUCGAUCUGCGGAUCGAUUUUGUGUUUUCGCAAGGCGAAUUCUCUCUUCGCUAAGGCGAUUUAGUUUCGCAUAAGGCGAUUUAGUUUUCGCAUAAGGCGAUUUUGAUGUGUAGCAGUUUCAUCCAAAUCGAACUGUUUAUCAAUCUUAUCUUUCUUCGAUUUGGGUUGAAACAUAAAUAAAUCUUUUAGAUCGGUUCUUCUCCUCUGUUUUUACUUAAUAUACCGUCUGAUUAAGAGGUUUGUUUUCUCUUAUUAGUUAGAUAUGCUCAGGUUUUGAGUCGGAGAUGGUGUCAUGCUUUGUUUCGAGUUCGAGCAAAGUCUCCAUGAUGAUCAAAACCUCAGAUUUGGAACGUGCUCUGAAGAUUCAAGGUUGAAUCCAGAUGAGUCAGAGCUACCAUAAGGGCUAGCGUUCUGACAAGAUUCUAUCUUUGAUUCUACUGAAGCUUUUCCCUGGAUAAACUCUAGCAAUUGGAGAAGACGACCUUGAGAUCGACGGCGAUUGGAGGUAUGAAGAACGUGCAAGCAGCCUCAAACAAGUUUCGAGAUGAAGAUCGGCGAGUUUUCCGGCGAGGUUCCGGCACCGCCUUCUUUCACGGACUGGAAGAGAUGAAGCCACGAGUUUGACCACAUGUUCAUCAUGCAAUUUAUCAUUAUCUUUAAGAUUUGGACUUCAUUUGGGCUAAAUUGUAUUUUGAGACUGUUUGUAACAAUGCCCUUUGAGCUUCGUUUAAUGAAAACGAAAGUUGACAAAAAAAAAAAACUUUUCGAUUCACAUAUAAUAUAUAUGUUAGCCGGCUAAAUGCAUUUAAUAGAUUUGCAUGAAAAUUUAA